rnacentral:lncRNA from 1 species
GCGGUAUCAUAAAUGCACUUGAGGCUGGGCAUGGUGGCUCACCUGAGAGUUUUUUCCCAAGUUCCAUUCAGAUUUUUUAUUGUGCAGUUCCUACAAGCUGUGAUAAAUUUCAGGUGGCCAGGGUCCCACCUCUCAGGCCUCUUGAACUGCCUGCCAGUCCUUGGCCUCCUCCCCUGCUGAGGUCAGCCUUCACGCAGAUCAUUUGUACCCCCAGCCCCUCGAGCUGAUCCAGAGUCCAAUUCUAGGCUAGCCAGUGACCUGUGGAAAGUUGGGAGCAAAACGUUUUAUUGGACCCAUCAGAUUCUAGCUCUUGAGAAUUUAGAUGGAGGAAAUCAGGCAUCCGUAUGAGCUGAAGCUGAAAGGAGGUGCUGAUGGAGAAAGGGAUUGGAGGGGCCAUCAUGGACCAUGUCAAAGCCUAAGUUGUGUAGCAGCAGAAGCCAUGAGGAAGCUCUGAAAUGUGGUCCGUGAAGGGAGGAGAGUGGAGCAGACACAGGAGCUAGGGGCAGAGGACAGCCUGUCCCUGGAGCUGCCUCCAGAUCUUGCUUUCAGACUCCAGUUCAGGUGCAUGUAUAUCCCAU